rnacentral:lncRNA from 1 species
UGCGUUGCAACGGAUUUUGUUUGAUGUUUUAAUUUAAUAAAGAAAAUAAAAGUUCAGUUUAAAAAAAAGUAAUAAAUCAUUUUAUUAUACUUUUAAGUUUGUUUUUGAUAUUUUGUGUGAGACUUAUUUUAUAACUAAGAACUUGUUUUUAUACAUAAAUUCCAGUUAAUAUUUGUAUUGUAUAAUCAUAGUGCAUAGGUGAAUUUUUAUCAAUUUUCUACUUAGUGCUAGAGAAAACACUCAUACCUAUAAAUUUAAACCCAACCCAACCCGAAUUAAGAAAAAGAAAAAAAAAUUAAAGUUAAAUAAAGCCAAUCGAGUCAAUGACAGCAUCAUACACUUUCUUAUGUAAUAGUUUAAUAUUUUAUUAAACUUAUCUAAUGCUUAAUAAUUUUAUUAAUUCAUUAUUUCUUAAAGAUAUAUUUCCAUGAUAACAUUUUAAUUAAACAUGAAGUUGAAAAAUAUUACGUAAUAAAAAAAUGUAAUAAGAUGACGAUAAAACUUGAUUUUUUAUAUAUAUAUUAGAAUCCUAAAUUUCACAUUGCAAA